rnacentral:rRNA from 1 species
AACGAACGCUGGCGGCAGGCCUAACACAUGCAAGUCGAGCGAGGACUUCGGUCCUAGCGGCGGACGGGUGAGUAGCGCGUGGGAAUAUGCCCAAAGGUACGGAAUAGCCUCGGGAAACUGGGAGUAAUACCGUAUGUGCCCUUCGGGGGAAAGAUUUAUCGCCUUUUGGAUUAGCCCGCGUUGGAUUAGGUAGUUGGUGGGGUAAUGGCCUACCCAAGCCGACGAUCCAUAGCNGGUUUGAGAGGAUGAUCAGCCACACUGGGACUGAGACACGGCCCAGACUCCUACGGGAGGCAGCAGUGGGGAAUCUUAGACAAUGGGGGAAACCCUGAUCUAGCCAUGCCGCGUGAGCGAUGAAGGCCUUCGGGUUGUAAACCUCUUUCAGCUCCGACGAAUUCAGACGGUAGGAGCAGAAGAAGCACCGGCCAACUACGUG